CAGUGUCUCGCACAAGCCGCUAGAUGUCAGCCCCGCCAUUUUGGACGAGGGGAGCAAAAAAAAGAAUACUAUUUUGUUUCAGGAGUCCUCGAAAACUAUCCACUUUUAAUCAGGUUAGACGCUGGCAUUUCCAAAAAUCCUCCUCACAUCAAGCUUUUUCCGCCUCUUCCAGACCAUAAAAUGACCGAUUAAGGAUAAUCAAGCACAGCAAUGUAGGCCUAAGAAUUUGGAGAGUAUGUUUCAUCAGAAAUCCACCUCACAUCAAGCUUUUUCCGCGUCUUCCGGACCAUAAAAGGACCGAUUAAGGAUAAUCAAGCACAGCAAUAAUGUAGACCUAAGAAGCACUUGGAGAGGAUGUUACAACAGAUGCACAGUCUGACAUGCCUCUGCUUUUAAUGCGCCCGUAUCACAGAUGUACUGGCUUUAAAGG